rnacentral:lncRNA from 1 species
CUGUCUGCUGAAGCCGAGUCAUUUCAAAGCUUCUCAUUGAGUGAAAAUGCGUUUGGCAGCUGAGGUAAUUUCAGGAAAUCUCUUUGGUGAGGACUUUGCUGUUUGGAUUAUACAACAUUUCUGAGGAAAAAAGCCUCAGUGAAGCUCGUGCUCCAGGUGGCUCUUGGUGUCCCCGACUUUACAUUCAUCUUCUCUUCCAACUGCUUGUUCCGACCUCCAGCAUCAGAUGUGAAGAAAACGGUCUUGCAGUUCUCUCACUGUCUUCCUCUUCCAAGAGCAUCCAUAUGAAUAUCAAGUAACCGUGGAACAGGACUGAAUGUGCCUUUCAUCUCUAAAUGCAUAUAAUUUUGGAAGGUUCAUGGCA